rnacentral:lncRNA from 1 species
UGAGCCUUGACUCAUUUAACCCCCACAGCACCCAGUAGAUGGUGGCACUAUUAGCAUACUUGUUUUAGAGGUGAGGACACACACACAAAGAGAUAAGGAAUUGCCUAAGAGCAAAAAGCUGGUAAGUGGUGAGCCCAGGUGUGAGCCUUGCUUCAGGAUCAAGUGCGCACCCCUGUGCUCUGGACUCCUUCCAGGUGUUGUUUCUCUUGCUGGCAUUUUAACUUCAUUACACCUAUCUGUAUGUUGGUCGUGGGAAGGAGGAAGCUCACCGAACACUGUGGCUUACCCAAGAUUUGUCCCUCGACUUUCCCUCUUCACCAAACCCCAGAGCCACUGGCGGAAUGUUCAGUUCCUUGGAAUCCCACAUGCCCGGGUUAGCUCCUUUUGCAAGCAGCCUGAUGGAUAGAAGUGAAGGGAUGGUGCUCCUUAUGAAAGGAGACGGGGGAGCUUAGUGAGCAGCGGCAGGGCCCUGCAGCCCGUCACACGCUAGCAUCCACCGGGUUGAGUGGCUGCGCACGACCGCGGCGGGCGGGCGGGCGCGCUGCCGGAACGCUCUAGGCCUCCUGCGGAACCCAGGCCUGCGUGAAGGUAAAUGCAAAUCAGCUCCGCCCAGCGCUUCCCGCAGAAGGAGGGUUUUCUGUGUGCGCGUCUGGUUUCCUCCGCCUUCAGCCAGAAUGCUGGCUUUAUUUUUGCGGUUUAUGAGCUUGAGACAGGGAAUUCAUUUCCUUGGUAUAAUAUGACCCUCUGGAGAAAGUCUUGUCCAGAUAUAUUUUGCUCCCAAACGCCGCCCUAGAAGAAGGACUACACUGAAAUGAAACGGAGAUGAUUAAAGUCUGAUUUAUAGGCUGUACAAGCCCUGAAAGCAAGAACGGGGUUCACGGCAUCUUGAUACCCCCAUGUGGGGACGUUUUGGCGAUUUUAUUUACAAGAAAGGGAUUUUACACCGGAGAGGCUUUUAAAUAUGCUAACAGACUGGACCAGCUUUCUCAUCCCCACUGGCUGAUUAAUGAUUCCUCCAUGCCAACCCGGUUCUCAGAGACACCAAGGCCAGGAAGUGGCCUCCAGUGCUUAGAAUUCCAAGCAUUUGGUCCUCUGGAGAUGAGAAACCAUGGGAAGGCAGGGGCUCACUCACCCCUGUAUCCAAAAAGUUGAGGAUGGUGCCAAGGACAGAGACGGUACCAGGGACUCCAAAAAUACUGAAUGAAAGGACAGUAGAGGUGCUUUCCUGUGGGAUCCCCAAUCUCUCCCCGCCUUCAGGUGAGUCCUGCUGAUGCUCAGGCUGCCCUUGGAACAGGGACCUUGGCCAUAGUUUCCUUAUCUGUAAUAAUGGGAUGAGAAUUCCUCCUGCACAGGGUUGUUAGGGACCUCGUGAGGCAGCUUCUAUGGCUGCCUUUGGUGCUUAGUUUUCUCACUUUCUUCUUGAACAUGGGAGUGGGGAGACGGACUCCUAAGGGUAUGACACUUGAAGAUUUCAGGAGGGGGCCUGCAGGUUUAUGUCCUCACUUGUUUUACACCUCACAGAGGUCAGCGAAGCAGGGUAUCACCAAAGCCCCACCUGAUGUCUCUGGAAAUCGAGUACUCCGUGUCUUCACCAGGCCCAUGCCAGCUGUGAGGGGCAGAACCAGGUUUUCUGACACCAAACCCCAGGUUUCUUCCUGUGCUGGCAUGGGUCCUUUUUCUGACUUGGCCAGCAGCCUCUCAUAGAUGGGGGUCUGAUUAAAUAGUUCUGG